UGGUCCUUGCCCGCAACAUGCAAUUUUUGAAGUCACAAAACCAUAAGCUUGUGGGUUUGAUAUGAAGUCCAUGUGCAUCCUAUAGGCAUUGACUGCAAUGAAAACAUGUGAGCCUACUCGGCUGUUGAGUUGGGUUAACAUCUGGACCAAUUGGGGGUUGAACAGGUUUGCGGCACGCUGCAGUUCAGGGUCACACUGGCCCGUCCUACUCCUCUGUGCCAGCUCCGCUGGUACGCAACCUAGGGGGCCAGUUCCAGUGACCAGGACGCGGCGUGCGCCCAAUUCAUGUAGCCUAGAGAGUACUUUCUCGUACUCUGAUAUGAGAUACCGAACAUAAUCUGGCAGGGAAAACUGUCGAGAUCUCGCUGAAAAAGGCACCAAGUAGUAGUUAUUCACGAAAUCGUUGCCACCAAGUGUUAUCAGAACCAGAGCUCGAUUCACCAGCUGCUGUGCUUGUGCAUGGCCAAUCACCGAGCUCAGCCUCUGCUGGUACUGCUGAAAGUACUCUAGCUGCUUGUACAUCCUUAUUAUGUUUAGAAAUUGGACUCCAGUGUCGUUGAGGAUCCCGAUUCCCGCAGAGGCGAAGUUGGCACCAACGAGCAAUCGCUCCCCGGUGAGCUCGGGGCUCAGAUAUGGCAAUGUGGGUGGAGCUCCAAGUUGUUCGCUCAGAAUGUCAGGGACGUUGAGGCCAUUGGAGAACCGUCCAGUGGGGCGGUGAGUCGGGUAGUCGAUGCCAUAAGGUGGUGAGUCCGCGCGGGCGGUCGUCACGAGGUAAUUGUUGUUGCCAUUGUCUACCAAUGAGUCACCGAAGACAAAGAAGGCCCUCGCCUCAGAUUGCAUUGAGAGAGUCCCUAGAGCUACCAGGCCAAUAAGCAGGGAGAUCAUGAGGAGAGCACCGUUGCCACCACCCAUUGUUGCU
rnacentral:misc_RNA from 1 species